UGGGGAAUAUUGGACAAUGGGCGAAAGCCUGAUCCAGCCAUGCCGCGUGAGUGAUGAAGGCCUUAGGGUUGUAAAGCUCUUUUAGCAGGGAAGAUGAUGACGGUACCUGCAGAAUAAGCACCGGCUAACUUCGUGCCAGCAGCCGCGGUAAUACGAAGGGUGCUAGCGUUGUUCGGAAUCACUGGGCGUAAAGCGUGCGCAGGCGGCUAUACAAGUCAGGGGUGAAAUCCUGAGGCUUAACCUCAGAAUUGCCUUUGAAACUGUAUAGCUGGAGUCCCGGAAGGGUUGGCGGAAUUCCUAAUGUAGCGGUGAAAUGCGUAGAUAUUAGGAGGAACACCAGUGGCGAAGGCGGCCAACUGGACGGGCACUGACGCUCAUGCACGAAAGCGUGGGGAUCAAACAGG
rnacentral:rRNA from 1 species